UACGUAGGGUGCGAGCGUUAAUCGGAAUUACUGGGCGUAAAGCGUGCGCAGGCGGUUCGUUGUGUCGGUGGUGAAAGCCCCGGGCUUAACCUGGGAAUGGCCAUGGAAACUGGCGAACUGGAGUGUGGCAGAGGGGGGUGGAAUUCCGCGUGUAGCAGUGAAAUGCGUAGAGAUGCGGAGGAACACCGGUGGCGAAGGCGGUGAGCUGGGCAACUACUGACGCUGAGGAGCGAAAGCGUGGGGAGCGAACAGG
rnacentral:rRNA from 1 species